rnacentral:rRNA from 1 species
AUUGAACGCUGGCGGCAGGCUUAACACAUGCAAGUCGAGCGGGGAAAGGUAGCUUGCUACUGGACCUAGCGGCGGACGGGUGAGUAAUGCUUAGGAAUCUGCCUAUUAGUGGGGGACAACAUCUCGAAAGGGACGCUAAUACCGCAUACGUCCUACGGGAGAAAGCAGGGGAUCUUCGGACCUUGCGCUAAUAGAUGAGCCUAAGUCGGAUUAGCUAGUUGGAGGGGUAAAGGCCUACCAAGGCGACGAUCUGUAGCGCGUCUGAGAGGAUGAUCCGCCACACUGGGACUGAGACACGGCCCGGACACCUGCGGGAGGCAGCAGUGGGGAAUAUUGGGCAAUGGGGGGAAACCUGAUCCAGCCAUGCCGCGUGUGUGAAGAAGGCCUUAUGGUUGUAAAGCACUUUAAGCGAGGAGGAGGCUACUCUAGUUAAUACCUAGGGAUAGUGGACGUUACUCGCAGAAUAAGCACCGGCUAACUCUGUGCCAGCCGCCGCCGUAA